rnacentral:rRNA from 1 species
AACUAUAACGGUCCUAAGGUAGCGAAAUUCCUUGUCAGGUAAGUUCUGACCCGCAUGAAAGGCGUAAUGAUUUGGGCACUGUCUCAACAGCCCGCCCGGCGAAAUUGUAGUACCGGUGAAGAUGCCGGUUACCCGCGACAAGACGGAAAGACCCCAUGGAGCUUUACUGUAGCCUAAUAUUGGGUUUCGAUGUUGCAUGCACAGGAUAGAUGGGACUCUGGGAAACCAAGGCUUUGGCCUUGGCGGAGAGGCCGUUGGGAUACCAUCCUUGCGAUAUUGGAAUUCUAACCUGCGGCUCUGAAUCGAGUCGGGGGACAUUGUUAGGUGGGCAGUUUGACUGGGGCGGUCGCCUCCUAAAGAGUAACGGAGGCGUUCAAAGGUUCGCUCAGCUUGAACGGAAAUCAAGCAAAAGAGUGCAAACGCAGAAGCGAGCCUAACUGCGAGACUGACGGGUCGAGCAGUAACGAAAGUUGGAGUUAGUGAUCCGGUGGUAUGUGAGUGGAAAUGCCAUCGCUCAACGGAUAAAAGUUACCCUGGGGAUAACAGGCUGAUCUCCCCCAAGAGUCCACAUCGACGGGGAGGUUUGGCACCUCGAUGUCGGCUCAUCGCAUCCUGGGGCUGUAUUCGGUCCCAAGGGUUUGGCUGUUCGCCAAUUAAAGCGGUACGCGAGCUGGGUUCAGAACGUCGUGAGACAGUUCGGUCCCUAUCUGUCGUGGGCGCAGGAUAUUUGAUGGGAGCUGUCCCUAGUACGAGAGGACCGGGACGGACGUACCUCUGGCGCACCAGUUGUUCCGCCAGGAGCAUAGCUGGGCAACUACGUACGGAUCGGAUAAACGCUGAAAGCAUCUAAGCGUGAAGCCGACCCAAAGAUAAGAUAUCCCACUGAUUCAAUCAGGUAAGAUCCCUUGUAGACUACGAGGUUGAUAGGCACGAUGUGUAAGUGGAGCGAUCCAUUCAGCAAGUGUGUACUAAUAGAUCGAGGGCUUGACCAC